AGGGAGAGCCUAAGGCAGAAGGGGAGCAGGGAGAGCAUGAGGCAGAGGAGGAUCGGGGAGAGCCUCAUGCUCUCCCUGCUCCCUUCCUGCCUUAGGCUCUCCCUGC